AUGACAUUGUAAAUAAGUU
rnacentral:snRNA from 1 species